rnacentral:rRNA from 1 species
GAUUUCUGGUACGGCGCACUUGGCCCGCUUCGGUUACGAGGUCGAGUGCCGGUGUGCGCCUGCCAUCCUUCUAGAGUACGACUCUCCCUUCAGUGGGUUGGGCCGGAAUCUAGAUCAUUUACUUUGAAAAAAUUAGAGUGUUUAAAGCAGGCUUACGCUAUGAAUACAUUAGCAUGGAAUAAUAAUUUAGGACUUUGGUCUUAUUUUGUUGGUUUCUAGGACUAAAGUAAUGAUUGAUAGGGACAGUUGGGGGUGCUAGUAUUCAGCGGCCAGAGGUGAAAUUCUUGGAUUCGCUGAAGACUAACUUAUGCGAAAGCAUU